ensembl:misc_RNA Metazoa_SRP Metazoan signal recognition particle RNA
GCUGGGCAUGGUGGUGCGUCCCUGUAAUCCCAGCUACUCAGGAGGCUGAGGCAGGAGAAUCACUUGAACCCAGGAAGCAGAGGUUGCAGUGAACCGAUAUCGUGCCACUGCACUCCAGCCUGGGUGACAGAGUGAGACUCUGUCUCAA